rnacentral:rRNA from 1 species
AUUGAACGCUGGCGGCAGGCCUAACACAUGCAAGUCGAGCGGUAGCACAGAGAGCUUGCUCUCGGGUGACGAGCGGCGGACGGGUGAGUAAUGUCUGGGAAACUGCCUGAUGGAGGGGGAUAACUACUGGAAACGGUAGCUAAUACCGCAUAACGUCGCAAGACCAAAGUGGGGGACCUUCGGGCCUCAUGCCAUCAGAUGUGCCCAGAUGGGAUUAGCUAGUAGGUGGGGUAACGGCUCACCUAGGCGACGAUCCCUAGCUGGUCUGAGAGGAUGACCAGCCACACUGGAACUGAGACACGGUCCAGACUCCUACGGGAGGCAGCAGUGGGGAAUAUCGCACAAUGGGCGCAAGCCUGAUGCAGCCAUGCCGCGUGUGUGAAGAAGGCCUUCGGGUUGUAAAGCACUUUCAGCGGGGAGGAAGGCGGUGAGGUUAAUAACCUCAUCGAUUGACGUUACCCGCAGAAGAAGCACCGGCUAACUCCGUGCCAGCAGCCGCGGUAAUACGGAGGGUGCAAGCGUUAAUCGGAAUUACUGGGCGUAAAGCGCACGCAGGCGGUCUGUCAAGUCGGAUGUGAAAUCCCCGGGCUCAACCUGGGAACUGCAUUCGAAACUGGCAGGCUAGAGUCUUGUAGAGGGGGGUAGAAUUCCAGGUGUAGCGGUGAAAUGCGUAGAGAUCUGGAGGAAUACCGGUGGCGAAGGCGGCCCCCUGGACAAAGACUGACGCUCAGGUGCGAAAGCGUGGGGAGCAAACAGGAUUAGAUACCCUGGUAGUCCACGCCGUAAACGAUGUCGAUUUGGAGGUUGUGCCCUUGAGGCGUGGCUUCCGGAGCUAACGCGUUAAAUCGACCGCCUGGGGAGUACGGCCGCAAGGUUAAAACUCAAAUGAAUUGACGGGGGCCCGCACAAGCGGUGGAGCAUGUGGUUUAAUUCGAUGCAACGCGAAGAACCUUACCUGGUCUUGACAUCCACAGAACUUUCCAGAGAUGGAUUGGUGCCUUCGGGAACUGUGAGACGGGUGCUGCAUGGCUGUCGUCAGCUCGUGUUGUGAAAUGUUGGGUUAAGUCCCGCAACGAGCGCAACCCUUAUCCUUUGUUGCCAGCGGUCCGGCCGGGAACUCAAAGGAGACUGCCAGUGAUAAACUGGAGGAAGGUGGGGAUGACGUCAAGUCAUCAUGGCCCUUACGACCAGGGCUACACACGUGCUACAAUGGCAUAUACAAAGAGAAGCGACCUCGCGAGAGCAAGCGGACCUCAUAAAGUAUGUCGUAGUCCGGAUUGGAGUCUGCAACUCGACUCCAUGAAGUCGGAAUCGCUAGUAAUCGUAGAUCAGAAUGCUACGGUGAAUACGUUCCCGGGCCU